AGAGUUUGAUCAUGGCUCAGAUUGAACGCUGGCGGCAGGCCUAACACAUGCAAGUCGAACGGUAACAGGAAGCAGCUUGCUGCUUCGCUGACGAGUGGCGGACGGGUGAGUAAUGUCUGGGAAGCUGCCUGAUGGAGGGGGAUAACUACUGGAAACGGUAGCUAAUACCGCAUAAUGUCGCAAGACCAAAGAGGGGGACCUUCGGGCCUCUUGCCAUCGGAUGUGCCCAGAUGGGAUUAGCUUGUUGGUGGGGUAACGGCUCACCAAGGCGACGAUCCCUAGCUGGUCUGAGAGGAUGACCAGCCACACUGGAACUGAGACACGGUCCAGACUCCUACGGGAGGCAGCAGUGGGGAAUAUUGCACAAUGGGCGCAAGCCUGAUGCAGCCAUGCCGCGUGUAUGAAGAAGGCCUUCGGGUUGUAAAGUACUUUCAGCGGGGAGGAAGGGAGUAAAGUUAAUACCUUUGCUCAUUGACGUUACCCGCAGAAGAAGCACCGGCUAACUCCGUGCCAGCAGCCGCGGUAAUACGGAGGGUGCAAGCGUUAAUCGGAAUUACUGGGCGUAAAGCGCACGCAGGCGGUUUGUUAAGUCAGAUGUGAAAUCCCCGGGCUCAACCUGGGAACUGCAUCUGAUACUGGCAAGCUUGAGUCUCGUAGAGGGGGGUAGAAUUCCAGGUGUAGCGGUGAAAUGCGUAGAGAUCUGGAGGAAUACCGGUGGCGAAGGCGGCCCCCUGGACGAAGACUGACGCUCAGGUGCGAAAGCGUGGGGAGCAAACAGGAUCAGAUACCCUGGUAGUCCACGCCGUAAACGAUGUCGACUUGGAGGUUGUGCCCUUGAGGCGUGGCUUCCGGAGCUAACGCGUUAAGUCGACCGCCUGGGGAGUACGGCCGCAAGGUUAAAACUCAAAUGAAUUGACGGGGGCCCGCACAAGCGGUGGAGCAUGUGGUUUAAUUCGAUGCAACGCGAAGAACCUUACCUGGUCUUGACAUCCACGGAAGUUUUCAGAGAUGAGAAUGUGCCUUCGGGAACCGUGAGACAGGUGCUGCAUGGCUGUCGUCAGCUCGUGUUGUGAAAUGUUGGGUUAAGUCCCGCAACGAGCGCAACCCUUAUCCUUUGUUGCCAGCGGUCCGGCCGGGAACUCAAAGGAGACUGCCAGUGAUAAACUGGAGGAAGGUGGGGAUGACGUCAAGUCAUCAUGGCCCUUACGACCAGGGCUACACACGUGCUACAAUGGCGCAUACAAAGAGAAGCGACCUCGCGAGAGCAAGCGGACCUCAUAAAGUGCGUCGUAGUCCGGAUUGGAGUCUGCAACUCGACUCCAUGAAGUCGGAAUCGCUAGUAAUCGUGGAUCAGAAUGCCACGGUGAAUACGUUCCCGGGCCUUGUACACACCGCCCGUCACACCAUGGGAGUGGGUUGCAAAAGAAGUAGGUAGCUUAACCUUCGGGAGGGCGCUUACCACUUUGUGAUUCAUGACUGGGGUGAAGUCGUAACAAGGUA
rnacentral:rRNA from 1 species